GCCGAGGUGGCGCAACCUGGUUCACGGAGUCUGCUCAUAGGCAGGCGUGCAGGAGACCGCGCAGGACUGGAAAUCCUGUUUCCGAAAGGAUGUCUGGGUUCGAAUCCCAGCCUCGGCG
rnacentral:tRNA from 1 species